GGGGGGGGGUCCAACUAUAUGUCCCAAUUCAUAUGCAUUGAUCGGCCAAAAAAAAGGGGGGUUCCAACCCCCGGACCCCUUGGAUCUGCCACUGCCAAGCACUCUUUGUAUUUAUAAUUCAACUUAAUUGUAAUUACAACCUUUAGAAAAAAAUAUAGAAAGAUUUUUUUCAAUUUCUUUUUUUUGUAAUUAGGUCAAAUAAAAUAAUAUCUGUGUUCAUGCUAUUCAGCUAUUACAUCUUUGAAAAAA
rnacentral:lncRNA from 1 species